AGGACGAACGCUGGCGGCGUGCUUAACACAUGCAAGUCGAGCGGAAAGGCCCUUCGGGGUACUCGAGCGGCGAACGGGUGAGUAACACGUGAGCAACCUGCCCUUAGCUCCGGGAUAGCUCCGGGAAACCGGAAUUAAUACCGGAUACGACCACGGCCGACAUCUGCUGUGGUGGAAAGGAUUCCGGCUAAGGAUGGGCUCGCGGCCUAUCAGCUUGUUGGUGGGUAAUGGCCUACCAAGGCGACGACGGGUA
rnacentral:rRNA from 1 species